UACGAAGGUCCCAAGCGUUGUUCGGAAUCACUGGGCGUAAAGCGUGCGUAGGCGGCAUGGUAAGUCAGAUGUGAAAUCUCUGGGCUCAACCCGGAAACUGCAUCCGAUACUGCCUUGCUAGAGUAAUGGAGAGGUAGCUGGAAUUCUCGGUGUAGCAGUGAAAUGCGUAGAUAUCGAGAGGAACACUCGUGGCGAAGGCGAGCUACUGGACAUUCACUGACGCCGAGGCACGAGGCCAGGGGAGCGAAAGGG
rnacentral:misc_RNA from 1 species